UAACACUAACUGGAGGACCGAACCGACUAAUGUUGAAAAAUUAGCGGAUGACCUGUGGCUGGGGGUGAAAGGCCAAUCAAACCGGGAGAUAGCUGGUUCUCCCCGAAAGCUAUUUAGGUAGCGCCUCGUGAAUUCAUCUCCGGGGGUAGAGCACUGUUUCGGCUAGGGGGCCAUCCCGGCUUACCAACCCGAUGCAAACUGCGAAUACCGGAGAAUGUUAUCACGGGAGACACACGGCGGGUGCUAACGUCCGUCGUGAAGAGGGAAACAACCCAGACCGCCAGCUAAGGUCCCAAAGUCAUGGUUAAGUGGGAAACGAUGUGGGAAGGCCCAGACAGCCAGGAUGUUGGCUUAGAAGCAGCCAUCAUUUAAAGAAAGCGUAAUAGCUCACUGGUCGAGUCGGCCUGCGCGGAAGAUGUAACGGGGCUAAACCAUGCACCGAAGCUGCGGCAGCGACGCUUAUGCGUUGUUGGGUAGGGGAGCGUUCUGUAAGCCUGUGAAGGUGGCCUGUGAGGGUUGCUGGAGGUAUCA
rnacentral:rRNA from 1 species